AACGAACGCUGGCGGCAGGCCUAACACAUGCAAGUCGAGCGAGGACUUCGGUUCUAGCGGCGGACGGGUGAGUAACGCGUGGGAAUGUGCCCUUCUCUACGGAAUAGCCCUGGGAAACUGGGAGUAAUACCGUAUACGCCCUUUUGGGGAAAGAUUUAUCGGAGAAGGAUCAGCCCGCGUUGGAUUAGGUAGUUGGUGGGGUAAUGGCCUACCAAGCCGACGAUCCAUAGCUGGUUUGAGAGGAUGAUCAGCCACACUGGGACUGAGACACGGCCCAGACUCCUACGGGAGGCAGCAGUGGGGAAUCUUAGACAAUGGGGGCAACCCUGAUCUAGCCAUGCCGUGUGAGUGAUGAAGGCCUUAGGGUUGUAAAGCUCUUUCAGCUGGGAAGAUAAUGACGGUACCAGCAGAAGAAGCCCCGGCUAACUCCGUG
rnacentral:rRNA from 1 species